UACGUAGGGCGCAAGCGUUGUCCGGAAUUAUUGGGCGUAAAGCGCUCGCAGGCGGCUCGAUGCGUCGUGCGUGAAACACCCCGGCUCAACUGGGGAGGGUCGUGCGAUACGGUCGGGCUGGAGGCCAGUAGGGGGAUGCGGAAUUCCGGGUGUAGUGGUGGAAUGCGUAGAUAUCGGAAGGAACACCAGUGGCGAAAGCGGCUUCCUGGUCCAGCACCGACGUUCAGGCACGAAAGCGUGGGGAGCAAACAGG
rnacentral:rRNA from 1 species